CACUCCCUGCACAGACUCUGACUCCAAGAUGGCGGCCUCCAUAUCUCAGAGGCUUCGGUGUCAUGUGUGAGCAGUGGGAUCCCUCUCUGAGGCUUAUGUGAUGUGUAGUUCCUCCAGUAUUUAACUCCUGAAGUCCGAACCUUCAGAGGAGCAGGUGGACCUCACCUGAGAUCUGCUAACACCUGAGAUCUCUGCCAACACCUGAGAUCUGCUAACACCUGAGCAGCUGCUGCAAGCUAACCACCGGAGUCACGGUUGAUUCUGUGAUGCCCGUGAGACUGUGGACGUGUGAGCAGUUUGGACAAUGGAAGGAUAAGUCCACAGAAGACGUCCGACUGUCCAG